UGUAUAAUGGGUCAGCGACUUAUAUUCAGUAGCGAGGUUAACCGUAUAGGGGAGCCGUAGAGAAAUCGAGUCUUAAUAGGGCGUUUAGUUGCUGGGUAUAGACCCGAAACCAGGCGAUCUAUCCAUGAGCAGGUUGAAGGUUGGGUAACACUAACUGGAGGACCGAACCCACUGUCGUUGAAAAGCCAGGGGAUGACUUGUGGAUAGGGGUGAAAGGCUAAUCAAGCCUGGUGAUAGCUGGUUCUCCCCGAAAGCUAUUUAGGUAGCGCCUCGGACGAAUACCAUAGGGGGUAGAGCACUGUUUCGGCUAGGGGGUCAUCCCGACUUACCAAACCGAUGCAAACUCCGAAUACCUAUGAGUACUAUCCGGGAGACAGACUGCGGGUGCUAACGUCCGUAGUCAAGAGGAAAACAAUCCAGACCGCCAGCUAAGGCCCCAAAAUCAUAGUUAAGUGGGAAACGAUGUGGGAAGGCAUAGACAGCUAGGAGGUUGGCUUAGAAGCAGCCACCCUUUAAAGAAAGCGUAAUAGCUCACUAGUCGAGUCGGCCUGCGCGGAAGAUGUAACGGGGCUAAAACUAUGUGCCGAAGCUGCGGAUGUAUACUUUGUAUACGUGGUAGGGGAGCGUUCUGUAAGCCGAUGAAGGUGUGUUGAGAAG
rnacentral:rRNA from 1 species